GACGAACGCUGGCGGCGCGCUUAACACAUGCAAGUCGAACGGUGAACCGGGCUUCGGCCUGGGGAUCAGUGGCGAACGGGUGCGUAACACGUGGGCAACCUGCCCCUCACUCUGGGAUAACCCCGGGAAACCGGAGCUAAUACCGGAUACUCCGAGCGGUCCGUAUGGUCCGAUCGGGAAAGGUCCGCCGGUGAGGGAUGGGCCCGCGGCCUAUCAGCUUGUUGGUGAGGUAACGGCCCACCAAGGCGACGACGGGUAGCUGGUCUGCGAGGACGACCAGCCACACUGGGACUGAGAUACGGCCCAGACUCCUACGGGAGGCAGCAGUGGGGAAUCUUGCGCAAUGGGCGAAAGCCUGACGCAGCGACGCCGCGUGGGGGAUGAAGGCCCUCGGGUUGUAAACCCCUUUCGGCAGGGACGAAGCGGUUCCGUGACGGUACCUGCAGAAGAAGCCUCGGCUAACUACGUGCCAGCCGCCGCGGUAAUAC
rnacentral:rRNA from 1 species